rnacentral:rRNA from 1 species
GAUGAACGCUAGCUACAGGCUUAACACAUGCAAGUCGAGGGGCAGCAUGAACUUAGCUUGCUAAGUUUGAUGGCGACCGGCGCACGGGUGAGUAACACGUAUCCAACCUGCCGAUGACUCGGGGAUAGCCUUGCGAAAGCAAGAUUAAUACCCGAUGUUCUCACUGUUCCGCAUGUUACGGUGAGCAAAGAAUUUCGGUAUGCGAUGGCGAUGCGUCCCAUUAGCUAGUUGGCGGGGUAACGGCCCACCAAGGCUCCGAUGGGUAGGGGUUCUGAGAGGAAGGUCCCCCACACUGGAACUGAGACACGGUCCAG